UAAAAAAACAGUAGCCAAGAA
rnacentral:piRNA from 1 species